UAGCUGUUUGGUGGAUUUGAAGUCCAUCUCCCGAAAUCAAUGAUGGAAAACAAGUUUCUGGGCUCAGAAACUCUUGUUUCUGUACUGUCAUUCAACGUUUUCCUUUUGGUGAACUCUCCAAAAGGAAAAGAGAUGAGAGGUGAAAGAAAGAGGAUCACCGUAUUGAAUGAAGAAGAAGGUUCGGAGAGAGAGAGAGAGAAGCAGAGACUAAGAGGGAGAAAGCUGUAAAGGGAUUGGGCAAACCAAGAGGCAGGAACGGGGAAGGACCACCCUUGCACCCUUUUUUAAAUGGAUUUCUGUGGGUUUUUCUUCUUUUUCAAAUUUAACAGGGCACACUGUAAAACAGCCGUAAAUCUUGAGGGGGGCCAGAAUUCCAAGCCCCUUUUAAUGGCGGAAGUAAAGAAAAAGAAGAGAUUGGUGAACUCCCCAAAAGGAAAAGAGAUGAGAGGUGAUUGAAAGAAGAUCAAUGUAUACAUACACACUUGUUUUCUGGAUCUGUUCUGAUUAGAAAGUGGCUUCCAACCAACGGAGGGAGGGCCCCAUCCCUUCCUCCUCCCUCCCCCUCUUAUAAAUUUGCUCCCCCACUGCUGUGAUCUCUAGAAAUCCCCAAUCCCCAAUUGAGGAUUUCAAUGGUUUCCAGGCUUUUCUGAAUUCGAGAGGCUUGGUUCAGUAGCAACCCUACCCACAUUUGCCAUUUUGGAGAAUCUAUCUCUCCUUCUGUCUCUUUUAUUGCUUUCUGUACCAAAGUUACUGUAAUUGCCGGCUCCCCAUCUCACAUGCUACUGUCUAGAAGGAGAUUGAAUAAGAGAAUAAAAUUUCGGGCAGAGGAGGUCGAAUUGAAAAGCACAAAACAUAAAAGCGCGUACACUUGGACGCAACAGUUCACAAGGCUGGUCGAACCCCUCAACAAGCACUCCUCAGUCCACUCUCUCUCUCUCUCUUUCUCUCGCUCCCUCCAUUGACGCGAUCGGAGCGACCUGAUGAUCGUGUCUUCUUAAUAGAGGUCCACGGGCCAUCUGGUUGCUCGCGCAAUUAGGAAGGGGGAUCUGAUCUUCGUGCUUUUCGGUGGGCGAUAAGAAAGGCCAGAGAUCUGCGGCCAAUCGGCAGAGUUCACUCCCACUACAGGGAAAGAGUUUGGUGCAGAGCCGGGAGUGGGAGGUGGGCGAUUGGCGGUGGGACGGGGAUCUAUUCGUCGGUAGACCCUUGAGCGGGGUUCUGGCCGGUUGGCAGUUUUUCCCAGUGGCGGUCAGUGAGGGAUCCUCGAAAGGUUCAGACGAGGGAAAGGGCAAGGUGGAGAAGCGGCGGAGGUUCAGGAGGCAGAGGGAGGUGGAUUUCUGGCCUUGAAACUGGGGGAGCAAGUGUAUCGGGUGGGCAAGGCGAACGGGGUGGAUGGCAGGAACUGCAAGAGAUCGAAGGUGCAGGGACGGGGUGUUGGAUAGUGGCCGGUUAGCCCUAUCCGAAGAUCUUAACUCAACACUUUUCACUUGAUAAAAUUUAUCUUUAUCUAUAAAUAUUUUUCUAAAAAAUCUCUCACAAUAACCAAAGGGGCUGGCCUAUAAAAACCCAGCAAUACGUUGUGUUAGAGUUUAAUUUUUAACGGAUUACCCGUGAGGAACCCCUUAAAGGAAACUCCUCAAAUCUGCCAGUUUCAACUUGCUCUUUAACUUCAUCUUCUUCCUCUGUCUCUUUCUCUUUCGGCUCUACUGUCAGCAGCCACGUGAAGAACUAUACUGGAGCAUCUGGUGGCGAAUCAAUUGGAAAGAGUGAGAUGUUGUUUCGCUGCCUUCACUCUAACAGUGGUAUCAAAGCGCAGUAGAUCAACGUUUGGCAUAAGUAAGUUAUAUUCAGAGUCCAUGUACAGAGAGUGUAUGAAUGUAAAUGGUUAAAGCUUGCAAGAUCAUAGACUAAGGACUAUGCUGCGUGUAUAAAUAUGUUUGGCUAAAAAGUUUGUAUAUAUGCUUUUUAUACAUGUUAUUCAAGAAGCAUGUCGAUUGCAGAUUACUAGAUAUAUUUUUUUGUGCCUGUAAUCCUAAAAGAGGGAGGCUAUUUGUUUUUA